rnacentral:misc_RNA from 1 species
GAUGAAGAACGCAGCGAAAUGCGAUACGUAAUGUGAAUUGCAGAAUUCAGUGAAUCAUCGAAUCUUUGAACGCAUAUUGCGCUCUUUGGUAUUCCGAAGAGCAUGCUUGUUUGAGUAUCAGUAAACACCUCAAAGCUUUUGGAUUUUUUAAUCGAAAAGCUUUGGACUUGAGCAAUCCCAACACCAAUCUUUUUGAGAUCGGUGGCGGGUUGCUUGAAAUGCAGGUGCAGCUGGACAUUCUCCUGAGCUAAAAGCAUAUUCAUUUAGUCCCGUCAAACGGAUUAUUACUUUUGCUGCAGCUAACAUAAAGGGAGUUAGACCGUAUUGGCUGACUGAUGCAGGAUUUCACAAGGGUCGGCAACGAUUCUUGUUAAACUCGAUCUCAAAUCAAGUAAGACUACCCGCUGAACUUAAGCAUAUCAAUAAGCGGAGGA